GGCUUAACUGGGUUAACCCAUU
rnacentral:snRNA from 1 species